AGGGCAGGGGAGACAUGGUGGCGGCUAGCUGGGCCAAGCUGCGAACGCCCAUCGGCGACUUUCGUUGGGGUCCAUACCAUUCUUCCUCCCCUCACUCCGAUGCCAAAACCAGUAGGUGCAGCAAGAAGGUCAAGCAUCAACAGAGGUGCACAUCCGCACAUGGGUGGCGUGAACAGAUGGCUACCCCAAGAUAAUCUGAACUAGCUUGCAGCAUCCGAUGAGAAACCAAGCCAGUUUCUUAGCAUGGCAGAUAACUCUCUAGACAUGAUCAUGUCUCUAGCAAUAGGGUCGUAGUCGGAGCACAACUAAGGUUGGCGCUGCUCAAGUGUUUGCAGCGGGAUCCUCUUCUACAACGGUGAUGACAAGGGCUCCGCUCCCAGUUCAGUCUAUCAACUACACACACAACUCCUGGACCUGCCUUCAGAUUUAAAGCAAGCGCUUCAGUACUUCCUUGUGUUGCAUAGUCACUAGACUGGGUUUUCUUUGAUUCUAUGAUUGGUUUGUUUUCAUCGCAAUGUAUGUGUCCACACAAUCAAAAGGAUCAAGAUAGCUUCACAUAGAUUAGUUAAUUGGCCAGGUACAUACGAAGCUGUGAAUCUAAA